ACUACUUUACAACUACUUAGCAUGUUAGCUAACCCUUCCCCUGACCUUAAGCCCUAAACCAUACAAAACAUAUCAUACUAAUUGGAGUGUCCCGGAUUUACGUUGACUAUGUAUUUGGAUAAAAGUGUGUGGGUGUUGAUUGUGCAGAGAGCGUGUGUCAGUGCUCCAGCUACCCCCCACUGAUCUACGCCAUCUCUGCAGCAGCUGGCCUGCUUCUCCUCGUCCUCAUCUGGCUGUGUGCAGCAGAGUGUGUUAAGCUGAGAAAACGUCAUAAAACACAAGCCCCCAUCCCCAUCUAUGAGGAAAUGAACAGUGGGUGUCGAGGAGCUGGAAGUGCCCAGAAUAACCAUCCUGUGCCUACACACCUGGAGGAAACAGAGUCCCCGGUGUACGCCAACCCCCAGGCCAGACAAGCACAGGAGAACCACUACGCCAGCCCCCGACAGAUCACUCUGAAGCCCUGAGCGAACCACGCUGAGGGUGCGUGUCAUGUCCCCCUAAUGUUUUUUUAAAAGGGGAGUGGACACGGAUGGCAAAAAUAAGAGUACCAGAGUUUCAGAUGUAGAUAUAAAUGUUCUAACCCACUCUGACAGGUGGUGGGAAAGAGUUUGACUCUACCGGAUCUGAUGUCAUUGCUUUUUCAAGUGUGUGCAAGAUCAUAAACUAUUGGUCCCACMUCACCUCUCUUUUCUAGUGUCAAGGAGUCACCCAACWAUGGUUGCUCAACAAACCCACCUACAGGAUGAGAAUGGAAAAGACUUACAGAGCUAGUACAUAGGUCACCGUGCCUGUAUAGUACAUAGGUCACCGUGCCUGUAUAGGUGUACUAGUGGUGAUGCCCUUAUGGCACAGCUGCCCUCAGAACAGGAUCUAAUAGGGAAAACUCCAAUCUGCAAACUAAUUGACAAACACCAACAUCAAGAACUGACCACAACACCCUUUAACAGACCAGAAAAAACUGCAACUUUAUUAAUAGUUUGAAAGAAGCUCCAUAGUUCAUGAAAACAUUGUUUUCGGUGCAUGUCAUUUAACAAUCACAUUCUAUGAGGAGAAAGAGAUACAGAGAAAAUAAAUCAUUACAAGCCACUGACUUUUC